CCUACGGGAGGCAGCAGUGGGGAAUAUUGCACAAUGGGGGAAACCCUGAUGCAGCGACGCCGCGUGAGUGAAGAAGUAUUUCGGUAUGUAAAGCUCUAUCAGCAGGGAAGAUAAUGACGGUACCUGACUAAGAAGCCCCGGCUAACUACGUGCCAGCAGCCGCGGUAAUACGUAGGGGGCAAGCGUUAUCCGGAUUUACUGGGUGUAAAGGGUGCGUAGGUGGCAGGGCAAGUCAGAUGUGAAAGCCCUGGGCUCAACCACAGUACUGCAUUUGAAACUGUCCAGCUGGAGUGCAGGAGAGGUAAGCGGAAUUCCUAGUGUAGCGGUGAAAUGCGUAGAUAUUAGGAGGAAUACCGAUAGCGAAGGCAGCAAUCUGGCUGGAAACUGACGCUGAGGUGCGAAAGCGUGGGUAGCAAACAGGAUUAGAUACCCCAGUAGUC
rnacentral:rRNA from 1 species